rnacentral:rRNA from 1 species
CCUACGGGUGGCAGCAGUGAGGAAUAUUGGUCAAUGGACGAGAGUCUGAACCAGCCAAGUAGCGUGAAGGAUGACUGCCCUAUGGGUUGUAAACUUCUUUUAUAAAGGAAUAAAACGAGGCACGUGUGCCUUUUUGCAUGUACUUUAUGAAUAAGGAUCGGCUAACUCCGUGCCAGCAGCCGCGGUAAUACGGAGGAUCCGAGCGUUCUCCGGAUUUAUUGGGUUUAAAGGGAGCGUAGAUGGGUUGUUAAGUCAGUUGUGAAAGUUUGCGGCUCAACCGUAAAAUUGCAAUUGAUACUGGCAGUCGUGAGUACAGUUGAGGUAGGCGGAAUUCGUGGUGUAGCGGUGAAAUGCUUAGAUAUCACGAAGAACCCCGAUUGCGAAGGCAGCUUACUAAACUGUGACUGACAUUGAUGCUCGAAAGUGUGGGUAUCAAACAGGAUUAGAUACCCUAGUAGUC